rnacentral:rRNA from 1 species
UACGAGAGCCUCGAGCGUUUAUCCGGAAUUAUUGGGCGUAAAGGGUGCGUAGGUGGCGCUGUAAGUCGGGUGUGAAAUUCGUCGACUUAACUCCGAAACUGCAUUCGAUACUGCCGUGCUUGAGGACUGGAGAGGAGACUGGAAUUUACGGUGUAGCGUGAAAUGCGUAGAGAUCAUAGGAAGACCAGUGGCGAAGGCGGGUCUCUGGACAGUUCCUGACGCUGAGGCACGAAGGCCAGGGGGAGCAAAACGGGG